CCUACGGGAGGCAGCAGUGGGGAAUUUUGGACAAUGGGCGCAAGCCUGAUCCAGCAAUGCCGCGUGAGUGAAGAAGGCCUUCGGGUUGUAAAGCUCUUUUGUCAGGGAAGAAACGGUGGGAGCUAAUAUCUCCUACUAAUGACGGUACCUGAAGAAUAAGCACCGGCUAACUACGUGCCAGCAGCCGCGGUAAUACGUAGGGUGCAAGCGUUAAUCGGAAUUACUGGGCGUAAAGCGUGCGCAGGCGGUUUUGUAAGUCUGUCGUGAAAGCCCCGGGCUCAACCUGGGAAUUGCGAUGGAGACUGCAAGGCUUGAAUCUGGCAGAGGGGGGUAGAAUUCCACGUGUAGCAGUGAAAUGCGUAGAGAUGUGGAGGAACACCGAUGGCGAAGGCAGCCCCCUGGGUCAAGAUUGACGCUCAUGCACGAAAGCGUGGGGAGCAAACAGGAUUAGAUACCCUGGUAGUCCACGCCCUAAACGAUGUCUACUCGUUGUCGGUUUUAAUUACGUUGGUAACGCAGCUACGUCGUGAGUAGACCGCCGUCGGGAGGUACGGUCGGUCGAGAGUUAAACGUUACGUAAGAAGUUAGUAGGCGUUGNGACGNGCGACGGACGACGACGAGGGAGGAGG
rnacentral:rRNA from 1 species